rnacentral:rRNA from 1 species
ACCAGGNUUNCGGUGGGUGACCUNGNGGAGGGUNCUUUUUGAAANUAUUGGGGGGGGUUGGUAGUGGCCUUCCGGGGCNAGUNCCCNCCUGAANCCUUUAUUCCCCCCCCCCCNNGUGACCUUAUGNAAGGGNCCGNNAAAAAGGCCNUUNNNUUUUUUUUCCCUUCCAGNAAAUUUCCAUUGAAAGNAAAAGUAAAGUUCUUNCCUUAAAAAANGGGUGGUNAAAAAAAAAGUUAUACAACUUUCAACAACGGAUCUCUUGGCUCUCGCAUCGAUGAAGAACGCAGCGAAAUGCGAUAAGUAAUGUGAAUUGCAGAUUUUCAGUGAAUCAUCGAAUCUUUGAACGCACCUUGCGCUCCUUGGUAUUCCGAGGAGCAUGCCUGUUUGAGUGUCAUUAAAUUCUCAAACUCUGAUUGAUUUUGUUUCGGUCAGAGCUUUGGAUUUGGAGCGUGCUGGCGUCAGUCGGCUCCUCUUGAAUGCAUCAGCGGAAUCCCAUUCAUUUCGGACGUCAGUGUGAUAAUCAUGUUGCGCUGUCUCUUGCCGAUCUUGAAAGCCCGCUCACAAUGGUCUUCGGACAAAACCUCACAUAUCAAAUUUGACCUCAAAUCAGGUAGGACUACCCGCUGAACUUAAGCAUAUCAAUAAGCGGAGGAAAAGAAACUAACAAGGAUUCCCCUAGUAACUGCGAGUGAAGCGGGAAAAGCUCAAAUUUAAAAUCUGGCGGUCUCGCGGCCGUCCGAGUUGUAAUCUGGAGAAGCGUCUAUCCGCGUCGGACCGUGUACAAGUCUUCUGGAAGGGAGCGUCGUAGAGGGUGAGAAUCCCGUCUUUGACACGGACAACCGAUGCUUUUGUGAUGCGCUCUNGAAGAGUCGAGUUGUUUGGGAAUGCAGCUCAAAAUGGGUGGUAAAUUCCAUCUAAAGCUAAAUAUUGGCGAGAGACCGAUAGCGAACAAGUACCGUGAGGGAAAGAUGAAAAGCACUUUGGAAAGAGAGUUAAACAGUACGUGAAAUUGUUGAAAGGGAAACGUUUGAAGUCAGUCGCGUCGGCCGAGACUCAACCUUGCGCUCGCGCUCGGUGCACUUGUCGGUUGACGGGUCAGCAUCAAUUUCGACCGCCGGACAAAGGUUGGGGGAAUGUGGCAUCCUUCGGGAUGUGUUAUAGCCCUUGAUUCACAUACGGCGAUUGGGAUUGAGGAACUCGGCGCCUCGCGCGUCCAGGAUGCGC